rnacentral:rRNA from 1 species
AGAUGGACCCGCGGCGUAUUAGCUAGUUGGUAAGGUAACGGCUUACCAAGGCAACGAUACGUAGCCGACCCGAGAGGGUGAUCGGCCACACUGGAACUGAGACACGGUCCAGACUCCUACGGGAGGCAGCAGUAGGGAAUCUUCCGCAAUGGGCGAAACCCUGAUGCAGCAACGCCGCGUGAGUGAUGAAGGUUUUCGGAUCGUAAAGCUCUGUCUUUGGGGAAGAUAAUGACGGUACCCAAGGAGGAAGCCACGGCUAACUACGUGCCAGCAGCCGCGGUAAUACGUAGGUGGCGAGCGUUAUCCGGAUUUACUGGGCGUAAAGGGAGCGUAGGCGGAUGAUUAAGUGGGAUGUGAAAUACCCGGGCUCAACUUGGGUGCUGCAUUCCAAACUGGUUAUCUAGAGUGCAGGAGAGGAGAGUGGAAUUCCUAGUGUAGCGGUGAAAUGCGUAGA